UACGGAGGAUGCAAGCGUUAUCCGGAAUGAUUGGGCGUAAAGCGUCCGCAGGUGGCAAUGUAAGUCUGCUGUUAAAGAGUCUAGCUCAACUAGAUAAAAGCAGUGGAAACUACAUAGCUAGAGUACGUUCGGGGCAGAGGGAAUUCCUGGUGUAGCGGUGAAAUGCGUAGAGAUCAGGAAGAGCACCAGUGGCGAAGGCGCUCUGCUAGGCCGUAACUGACACUGAGGGACGAAAGCUAGGGGAGCGAAUGGG
rnacentral:rRNA from 1 species